UUUCACAUCAUGUGCACUAUCCAUAGGUUCUUGUCUGCCAGUUGGCGGCACAAAUGAAACACCUGUUGAUGGGUUGCAGAGGCAAGUGAGAGAUUUGCUCCAGCAAGAUGUCACAACAGUCGGACUGAAGAGAGACUGGGCUCUAAAGGCCCCGACGAGCGUGGCCCCGACGAGCGUGGCCCCGCUACAUUGAGACUCAGUUAGUGACCCAAGGUUUGGGGAACCAUGCGAUAUU